GACGAACGCUGGCGGCGUGCUUAACACAUGCAAGUCGAGCGGUAAGGCCCUUUCGGGGGUACACGAGCGGCGAACGGGUGAGUAACACGUGGGUGACCUGCCCUCAGCUCUGGGAUAAGCCUGGGAAACCGGGCCUAAUACUGGAUAUGACUCCAUGACGCAUGUUGUGGGGUGGAAAGCCUUGUGCGGCUGAGGAUGGGCCCGCGGCCUAUCAGCUUGUUGGUGGGGUGANGGCCUACCAAGGCGACGACGGGUAGCCGGCCUGAGAGGGCGACCGGCCACACUGGGACUGAGACACGGCCCAGACUCCUACGGGAGGCAGCAGUGGGGAAUCUUGCGCAAUGGGCGAAAGCCUGACGCAGCGACGCCGCGUGAGGGAUGACGGCCU
rnacentral:rRNA from 1 species